GUCUCCACAUCAACGUUCAAAUCAUCGGCUGGGGAAAUUACUUCGUUGAUCUGAGUAACAAUCUUAUCGCGCAGAUCAUCAGUUGCAGCAGGCGGUGGCGGCGCCUCUGCCUCUUCGGCGGCCGGUUCUUGAGGAUCGUGAGAUGCGGUACCGGUAUCGGUGUCGGCAUCAACGUCGGGAUCGUCGGAAGGGGGCAUCGGC
rnacentral:misc_RNA from 1 species